rnacentral:rRNA from 1 species
UACGAAGGGGGCUAGCGUUGCUCGGAAUCACUGGGCGUAAAGCGCACGUAGGCGGAUCGCUAAGUCAGGGGUGAAAUCCUGGAGCUCAACUCCAGAACUGCCCUUGAUACUGGUGGUCUCGAGUCCGGGAGAGGUGAGUGGAACUGCGAGUGUAGAGGUGAAAUUCGUAGAUAUUCGCAAGAACACCAGUGGCGAAGGCGGCUCACUGGCCCGGUACUGACGCUGAGGUGCGAAAGCGUGGGGAGCAAACAGG